AGGGCUAGAUCUGGGACCAGGGCUAGAUCUGGGACCAGGGCUGGAUCUGGGACCAGGGCUGGAUCUGGGACAAGGGCUGGAUCUGGGGCCAGGGUCUUACUGAUACAGGAGAGAGACUCUGAUGCUGGGGGGAACACAGAAGCUUGCCCCCCCUCCUCAACUGUGACACGGGUCUGUCUUGUGGGGGUAUAGGAGGGGGGUUGGAAGCGGUCCCUUACUCUAGAUCUCCAUCUGCGAUUUCCUACAAAUCUCUAUAGCGUCGGCUCCUGAAUCUGGAAGAAAAGAUGGAUUCUGAGAAAAGCGGAUAUUUCACCAAUUCAUGAAGAAAAGAAAAGAAAAUGAUGUAAGACA